rnacentral:rRNA from 1 species
CGGCGUGCCUAAUACAUGCAAGUCGAACGCAUUGUGGUUGGAAAUGAUAUGAAGAACUUGUUCAGAUUUGAUUUCAACGUUGCAAUGAGUGGCGAACGGGUGAGUAACACGUGGGAAACCUACCUCUUAGCAGGGGAUAACAUUUGGAAACAAAUGCUAAUACCGUAUAAUAAUUAAAACCGCAUGGUUUUAGUUUAAAAGAUGGUCUUGCUAUCACUAAGAGAUGGUCCCGCGGUGUAUUAGUUAGUUGGUGAGGUAAUGGCUCACCAAGACAAUGAUACAUAGCCGAGUUGAGAGACUGACCGGCCACAAUGGGACUGAGACACGGCCCAUACUCCUACGGAGGCAGCAGUAGGGAAUCUUCCACAAUGGACGAAAGUCUGAUGGAGCAACGCCGCGUGUGUGAUGAAGGGUUUCGGCUCGUAAAACACUGUUGUAAGAGAAGAAUGACAUUGAGAGUAACUGUUCAAUGUGUGACGGUAUCUUACCAGAAAGGAACGGCUAAAUACGUG